rnacentral:tRNA from 1 species
AAGCGGCUGGCUCAGUGGUAGAGUGCUUGCCUAGCAUGUGUGAGGCACUGGGUUCAAUUCUCAGACUGCAUA